rnacentral:rRNA from 1 species
CAGUAGCCACAGUAAUACGAAGGGUGCAAGCGUUACUCGGAAUUACUGGGCGUAAAGCGUGUGUAGGUGGUUGUUUAAGUCUGUCGUGAAAGCCCUGGGCUCAACCUGGGAAUUGCGAUGGAUACUGGGCGACUAGAGUGCGGUAGAGGAUAGUGGAAUUUCCGGUGUAGCAGUGAAAUGCGUAGAGAUCGGAAGGAACAUCUGUGGCGAAGGCGACUAUCUGGGCCAACACUGACACUGAGGCACGAAAGCGUGGGGAGCAAACAGGAUUAGAUACCCCCGGUAGUCCCUGUCUCUUAUU